GUACCUGAUGUUAAACGUGUGUGAUGGACUGAUAUGGACUCCUCCUCCCAAAUGGAUAAAGGACUUGCAUGCUAGAGAAUGUCUUCAGUUCCUCUGCAGAGUAACUCAGGUCUUAUGUUGAAUAAAGAUCUGAUGUUUA